rnacentral:rRNA from 1 species
AUUGAACGCUGGCGGCAUGCCUAACACAUGCAAGUCGAGCGGUUGAAGUGGGCUGGCUGCUGGGUUCGGCUGCGUACGGGGUGGGAAUCCGUACGAAGGUUCGUGGUAGUGGGUGAUAACGUCCGCUAACGGGGGCUGAUACCGCAUACUUCCUGAUUGAUAGAGUGGGGGUUCUUCGGCCCUCGCUCUGGCAGAUGGUCAGAGGUCGGAUUACCUAGUUGGUGGUGUAAAGGCCUACCAAGGCGACGAUCCGUAACUGUUCUGAGAGGAUGAUCAGUCAGACUGGCAGUGAGAAACGGUACAGACUCCUACGGGAGGAAGCAGCGGAGAAUCUUAGACAAUGGGCGAAAGCCUGAUACAGCAAUGCCGCGUGUGUGAAGAAGGUCCUCGGAUUGUAAAGCAAUUUAAGUUGGGAGGAAGGGAAGUAAGUUAACCCCUUGAUGUUUUGACGGUACCAACAGAAUAAGCCCCGGCUAACUUCGUG